CCGGGGCGACAUCUCUGACUGACUCGAGUGUUAGCAUCUUUUGGGGGUUUGGUUAGAAGCAACAGCAGCAGGAAUCUGCAUCCAAAGAGCCCGAGCAUACCGAACACUCACGUGUUCCGGUCUCCAUGUUCUGUUUCUCUUUUCUUCCCAAUGCAGACACAUACGGGUUUUCAUUCAGUCGUCAUGCAUCAGCCAAGCCCUACUCACUCACCUUCAGAUCGACACGAAGUGCCGAAGUGGCAAUCUAUCAGACCACGUAAACUUGAAAAGGAAACACACACGCGUGCUUUCAGAAAUCGCGUGGAACACGUGGCGAUCUCUCUCGCUGUCUCCUGUCAUGGACUCAUGUGUUACUGGCCAUCGCGACAGGCAGGUAGAGCUAGCUAGCACCAUCAGCUGCUUAGCCGGGGGUGUGGAACACGUGUACACGUUGCGUGCAUAGGGAAGUGUUGGCCUCUGCGCAAGAAAACAAUUUUCACCAGAGAUCUUAUGAUAUAUUCGAAAAAGGUUUGUAACACUUUGUAGCCGUCCAUGUCAUCAAAAUAACCACUAAGCCAAAUCUUCCUGGGCGCGCGCAACUGGGAGUACGCAAUCCGCUACUCCUUCGGUCCCAUAAUUUUUGUCGUAAUUUUAAUUAGUUCAAAUUUCUUGUGGACGCCGAAGGUUUCUCCGUCGCAUAGUCCACGCAUCUGAAGAUAUUCUGGCGAUAUACUCCGUACUACAUUAAGGCAACAACGAUCGAUAUUGUAGUCUUGUGUUUUCGACAGCGAAUAUUAGUACAACCCCUCUGGUCACGGAAUAUUUUUUUUCCAAAACAUGUGGCCAUUGAUUGGAAUGCAUAACUUGUGCCAAAUCUCCGGAUAAUUCCCGUUUAUCCUUAGCUUUUUCUUUAUCCUGAAAGCCAGAGAGAAACAGGUAAACUAAGCCAGAAGCAACCUCCAAUUUUAUUUUUUAUUUUUUUGAAAGCACCUCCAAUUUUAUUUUAAUUCACACUAACAACGCAUUACUAGUAUACACUGAAAGCUCACAUUGUAUAAUGUUUUCCAGCCAUGCUGUUCGUCAGUGGCUUCCUUUUCCUUAAACAGAAACCAACUGUCGUUUGUGGAACAGGCCAGGGCAAUGUUAAUUUUUUUUCCGGGUGAUCCUAGUGCGUUGCCACGUCCUCUUAAACAUGUGCACACGAAAAUUCAUGUUUAUACAAAACAUAAC
rnacentral:lncRNA from 1 species